rnacentral:rRNA from 1 species
UGGGGAAUUUUGGACAAUGGGCGCAAGCCUGAUCCAGCCAUGCCGCGUGCAGGAUGAAGGCCCUCGGGUUGUAAACUGCUUUUGUACGGAACGAAAAGCCUCUUUCUAAUAAAGAGGGGUGAUGACGGUACCGUAAGAAUAAGCACCGGCUAACUACGUGCCAGCAGCCGCGGUAAUACGUAGGGUGCGAGCGUUAAUCGGAAUUACUGGGCGUAAAGCGUGCGCAGGCGGUUUUGUAAGACAGAGGUGAAAUCCCCGGGCUCAACCUGGGAACUGCCUUUGUGACUGCAAGGCUGGAGUGCGGCAGAGGGGGAUGGAAUUCCGCGUGUAGCAGUGAAAUGCGUAGAUAUGCGGAGGAACACCGAUGGCGAAGGCAGUCCCCUGGGCCUGUACUGACGCUCAUGCACGAAAGCGUGGGGA